GAUGAACGCUGGCGGCGUGCCUAAUACAUGCAAGUCGAGCGAACAGACGAGGAGCUUGCUCCUCUGACGUUAGCGGCGGACGGGUGAGUAACACGUGGAUAACCUACCUAUAAGACUGGGAUAACUUCGGGAAACCGGAGCUAAUACCGGAUAAUAUAUUGAACCGCAUGGUUCAAUAGUGAAAGACGGUUUUGCUGUCACUUAUAGAUGGAUCCGCGCCGCAUUAGCUAGUUGGUAAGGUAACGGCUUACCAAGGCAACGAUGCGUAGCCGACCUGUGAGGGUGAACGGCCACACAGGAACUGAGACACGGUCCAGACUCCUACGGGAGGCAGCAGGAGGGAAUCUUCCGCAAUGGGCGAAAGCCUGACGGAGCAACGCCGCGUGAGUGAUGAAGGUCUUCGGAUCGUAAAACUCUGUUAUUAGGGAAGAACAAAUGUGUAAGUAACUAUGCACGUCUUGACGGUACCUAAUCAGAAAGCCACGGCUAACUACGUG
rnacentral:rRNA from 1 species